UACGUAGGGUGCAAGCGUUGUCCGGAAUUAUUGGGCGUAAAGAGCUCGUAGGCGAUUUGUCGCGUCUGCUGUGAAAACCCGAGGCUCAACCUCGGGCCUGCAGUGGGUACGGGCAGACUAGAGUGCGGUAGGGGAGAUUGGAAUUCCUGGUGUAGCGGUGGAAUGCGCAGAUAUCAGGAGGAACACCAAUGGCGAAGGCAGAUCUCUGGGCCGUAACUGACGCUGAGGAGCGAAAGCAUGGGGAGCGAACAGG
rnacentral:rRNA from 1 species